UACGUAGGGGGCAAGCGUUGUCCGGAUUUAUUGGGCGUAAAGAGCGUGUAGGCGGCCAGGUAGGUCCGUUGUGAAAACUCGAGGCUCAACCUCGAGACGUCGGCGGAAACCCUCUGGCUAGAGUCCGGAAGAGGAGAGUGGAAUUCCGUGGUGUAGCGGUGAAAUGCGCAGAUAUCAGGAAGAACACCCGUGGCGAAGGCGGCUCUCUGGGACGGUACUGACGCUGAGACGCGGAAGCGUGGGGAGCAAACAGG
rnacentral:rRNA from 1 species